rnacentral:misc_RNA from 1 species
ACUUUUUUAUUAUUAAUUUAAUAUCUGUAAAAAUACAAUUAAAAGGCAAAAUAAAGGGCAACACAAAUGUGACGCGUGUCAGGUAGCGCUUGCGCGAUAUACAAUAGAAAUUUUCCUCAAGUGACGUACCGACGCGACGUGUUGACGUUUUCUGUAAAUUUGCUUCGUUGAUCGACUGGAUAUUUCACUUUUACAUACGUGUCAAGUGAGCUUGUGCGUGUUCGGCUUUACAGCCUUUAAUUUUAAGAAAAUUGACAAAUAUCACUGAUUUUAUACAAAAAUGGCACCGAAACAGAGAAUGCGUAUCGCCAACGAAAUUGCUAGCAAGAACAUCACAAUGAGAGGCAACGUUCCCAAAACAACAAAGGAAAAGGAUGACCAAUAUCCCGUAGCUCCAUGGCUCUUAGCUCUCUUCAUAUUUGUAGUCUGCGGCUCGGCUGUCUUCCAAAUCAUCCAGUCCAUACGAUUGGCCUAAACCCUCUGUGAUCCCAUUCCCGACUGAUAAUUUAGUGACUUAAUAACAUCCAUCGCAUUUUAAAAUGAAAUGAGAAUGUAAAUAUGUUUUAAUUAAAAUGCUACUACCGUUUAUGUGAAAUAUUUUCUAUCUCUCUCAUGUCCAUGUGUAAUGUUUUACCAUCUUCUUCUAGCCAUGGUAUCCAAAAACAUCUUGGCCCCUUGUAAUAUUUAAAUAUUUUGUGUUACAAAGUAUUUAUCUUUUACAAGGUGACUGCGCUUGUUCCUUGUAGCUUUUGUAGUUGUAUUUGUUUAGUCCGAGCGCAGUAAUUAUAAUCUCAAAAAAUGUGUACUAUAUCUUGUAUAGUGUAAAUUUACUUAGGUUAGGUUCACAUUUGGCAAGUCUUAUCUAAAAUAGUAUAAUAAAUACUGUUUCUAUCAACUUAAAUAACUUUUAAAAAAAACCAAAAUAAGUUUUGUGCUAAUAUGAUUGACCGCAAAAAAUUGCCUAGUGUGUUUCUAACCUUUAUAUUAAGAUAACCAAACACUUCGAUGUUAAUGAAAUUAUUAUUCCAUUCCUGAAUUAUUUUAAGACCAAGUUUAUGAAAGACGCACAACAUCGUAACUUCCUGCAAUGAAAUUUUGUUUAAGGGUUUUUUUUUUAAAUAUUAGUGAAUAAUUAUAUUCGAUAUUAUUUUGAUUUUGAGCCACCGUAAUGAAAUUAUAUGUCGGUACUAUUUUAUAAUUUUAAAUGUAAUUUAUUUGUUAAAUAAAAUACAGUAUAUUUGUCGAUAUAUUUGUUUUAAUUCACUCAUAAUGUAUACAUAUAACUAUGACACCCAGUAUGUUAUAGAACAGAUGUCUAGUAAGGCAUAUAUCAUAGCUCCAAUGCUUGGGAAUAAUUCGCCUAAAGGAAGAAUGUAACAAUA